rnacentral:rRNA from 1 species
GACGAACGCUGGCGGCGUGCCUAAUACAUGCAAGUAGAACGCUGAAGGAGGAGCUUGCUUCUCCGGAUGAGUUGCGAACGGGUGAGUAACGCGUAGGUAACCUGCCUGGUAGCGGGGGAUAACUAUUGGAAACGAUAGCUAAUACCGCAUAAGAGUAGAUGUUGCAUGACAUUUGCUUAAAAGGUGCAAUUGCAUCACUACCAGAUGGACCUGCGUUGUAUUAGCUAGUUGGUGAGGUAACGGCUCACCAAGGCGACGAUACAUAGCCGACCUGAGAGGGUGAUCGGCCACACUGGGCCUGAGACACGGCCCAGACUCCUACGGGAGGCAGCAGUAGGGAAUCUUCGGCAAUGGACGGAAGUCUGACCGAGCAACGCCGCGUGAGUGAAGAAGGUUUGCGGAUCGUAAAGCUCUGUUGUAAGAGAAGAACGAGUGUGAGAGUGGAAAGUUCACACUGUGACGGUAUCUUACCAGAAAGGGACGGCUAACUACG